GCUAGACACACAAAAAAAAGACAAUCACCACAGCCUUCCAAGAAGAUGGACUGCCUCACAAUAGUUUCCUUGAGGACUGUCUUGAAAUAUCCAGAGUUUAAGAUUCAAGAAACGGACUCUAUCUGGAAAAGGAAAACAAUAUCAAAGCUCCUCUGUGAGAAGUUGGCCAAGGAAAGCAUUCAGAAGAAAGUGGAGAUUCAUUGUUUUUACCAGAUCCAGCAGAUCACAGAAAGCAUCUAGUAGGGGAGGUCUACAGAUCGAAGCAUGCCAAACGUGUAAAGAACAAGUUUCCAGGAUUAAGCCAGCCAGUAGAUGAGACUAUCAUAUCAAAAAUACAUUUACUUGUACACGAGGGCACACAAAGCGUUGAUGAAACAAAAAGACAUUUCCGUCUGUUUGUAAAGGAUACUAUUUCACCAGGGAACACCAUCUCAGAAUUUAACAGAUGCUUUUACCCCGCCAAUAAGGAUGUAAGAAAUCACAUUUACAGGGCACCGAGAUUUUGCCAGGUAGUUUAGAACUGUGUGCAUUGGUUUUGGAAGAAUUUGGGCUGUUUAGGCUAAAAUCCAUUAUGAUUGGACAGAAUAUGAACACACACAUCCAAUACUUCAAAGAUAUUAUGUUUGUGGAGGCAGAGAUUUUGAUUGCAUCCACUGUUUAGAAUACAUCCUUAAGGGAAGCAGACUGCCGCCUUUACCCAGUGAUAUAAUGAUUAAUCAU